UGGGGAAUAUUGCACAAUGGAGGGAACUCUGAUGCAGCGACGCCGCGUGAACGAAGAAGGCUUUCGUGUCGUAAAGUUCUUUUAUAUGGGAAGAUAAUGACGGUACCAUAAGAAAAAGCCCCGGCUAACUACGUGCCAGCAGCCGCGGUAAUACGUAGGGGGCUAGCGUUGUCCGGAAUCACUGGGCGUAAAGGGUUCGCAGGCGGAAAUGCAAGUCAGGUGUAAAAGGCAGUAGCUUAACUACUGUAAGCAUUUGAAACUGCAUAUCUUGAGAAGAGUAGAGGUAAGUGGAAUUUUUAGUGUAGCUGUGAAAUGCGUAGAUAUUAAAAAGAAUACCGGUGGCGAAGGCGGCUUACUGGGCUCAUUCUGACGCUGAGGAACGAAAGCGUGGGUAGCAAACAGG
rnacentral:rRNA from 1 species